CUGGUUGAUCCUGCCAGUAGUCAUAUGCUUGUCUCAAAGAUUAAGCCAUGCAUGGCUAAGUAUAAACAACUUUAUACUGUGAAACUGCGAAUGGCUCAUUAAAUCAGUUAUAGUUUAUUUGAUAGUACCUUACUACUUGGAUAACCGUAGUAAUUCUAGAGCUAAUACAUGCGAAAAGACCCGACUUUUUGGAAGGGUUGCAUUUAUUAGAUACAAAACCAAUGGCCAGCAAUGGUCUCCCUUGGUGAUUCAUAAUAACUUUUGCGGAUCGCAUGGCCUUGCGCCGGCGACGAAUCAUUCAAAUUUCUGCCCUAUCAACUUUCGAUGGUACGGUAUUGGCCUACCAUGGUUACAACGGGUAACGGGGAAUUAGGGUUCGGUUCCGGAGAGGGGGCCUGAGAAAUGGCCACCACAUCCAAGGAAGGCAGCAGGCGCGCAAAUUACCCAAUCCUGACACAGGGAGGUAGUGACAAUAAAUAACAAUGCAGGACCUUUUAGGUUUUGUAAUUGGAAUGAGUACAAUUUAAAUCUCUUAACGAGUAUCAAUUGGAGGGCAAGUCUGGUGCCAGCAGCCGCGGUAAUUCCAGCUCCAAUAGCGUAUAUUAAAGUUGUUGCGGUUAAAAAGCUCGUAGUUGAAUUUCGGAGUCCUAUUUUUUAAGCCAAAGGUCGGAAACCCAGGCUUCGAAGGAGGUUGAUGGGGCUGUUACUUGAGGCAGGACUCACAUCUGAGUUUCUCGAAGGUGGCCUCUGCCCUUUACUGGGUCGGAGGAACUUUUUCACAUUCGAGACAUUUACUUUGAAAAAAUUAGAGUGUUCAAAGCAGGCAGUUUCGCUUGAAUACAUUAGCAUGGAAUAAUGGAAUAGGACUUCGGUCUUAUUUUGUUGGUUUCUAGGACUGAAGUAAUGAUUAAUAGGGACAGUUGGGGGCAUUAGUAUUUAAUUGUCAGAGGUGAAAUUCUUGGAUUUAUGAAAGACUAACUUCUGCGAAAGCAUUUGCCAAGGAUGUUUUCAUUAAUCAAGGACGAAAGUUAGGGGAUCGAAGACGAUUAGAUACCGUCGUAGUCCUAACCAUAAACUAUGCCGACUCGGGAUCGGUGAGCGUGAUUUUUUUUGACCUCAUCAGCACCGUAGGAGAAAUCAAAGUUUUUGGGUUCUGGGGGGUGUAUGGUCGCAAGGCUGAAACUUAAAGGAAUUGACGGAAGGGCACACCAGGUUUGGAGCCUGCGGCUUAAUUUGACUCAACACGGGGAAACUCACUAGGUCCAGACAUCGUAAGGAUUGACAGAUUGAGAGCUCUUCUUGAUCGAUGGAAGUGUGCAUGGCCGUUCUUAGUGGUGGAUGCUCUGUCGGGUUAUCCGUAACGAACGAGACCUAAC
rnacentral:rRNA from 1 species